rnacentral:rRNA from 1 species
UACGUAGGGAGCAAGCGUUGUUCGGAUUUACUGGGCGUAAAGGGCGCGUAGGCGGCGUGUCAAGUCGAUUGUGAAAUCUCCGGGCUUAACUCGGAACGGCCAAUCGAUACUGACGUGCUAGAGUGCAGAAAGGGCAAUCGGAAUUCUUGGUGUAGCGGUGAAAUGCGUAGAUAUCGGGAGGAACACCAGUGGCGAAGGCGGCUAUCUGGGCUGCAACUGACGCUGAGGCGCGAAGGCUAGGGGAGCAAACAGG